GUGAGGAAUUUUGCGCAAUGGGGGCAACCCUGACGCAGCGACGCCGCGUGGAGGACGAAGUCUUUCGGGAUGUAAACUCCUGUCAGUGGGGACGAUAAUGACGGUACCCACAGAGGAAGCACCGGCUAACUCCGUGCCAGCAGCCGCGGUAAGACGGAGGGUGCAAGCGUUGUUCGGAAUUACUGGGCGUAAAGCGUACGUAGGCGGCAAGUUAAGUUCAAUGUUAAAGCCCACGGCUCAACCGAGGAGAUGCAUUGAAUACUGGCUAGCUAGAGGGUGUUAGAGGAAGACGGAAUUCCCAGUGUAGCGGUGAAAUGCGUAGAUAUUGGGAGGAACAUCGGUAGCGAAAGCGGUCUUCUGGGACACACCUGACGCUGAGGUACGAAAGCGUGGGGAGCAAACGGGAUUAGAUACCCCAGUAGUCC
rnacentral:rRNA from 1 species